rnacentral:rRNA from 1 species
UACGAAGGGUGCAAGGCGUUACUCGGAAUUACUGGGCGUAAAGCGUGCGUAGGUGGUGAGUUAAGUCUGUCGUGAAAGCCCCGGGCUCAACCUGGGAAUGGCGAAUGGAUACUGGCUCGCUAGAGUGCGGUAGAGGAGAGUGGAAUUCCCGGUGUAGCAGUGAAAUGCGUAGAGAUCGGGAGGAACAUCAGUUGCGAAGGCGGCUCUCUGGACCAGCACUGACACUGAGGCACGAAAGCGUGGGGAGCAAACAGG